rnacentral:rRNA from 1 species
AAUAAGCAAAAUAAGGGCGUAUGGGGAAUGCCUAGGCUCUCAGAGGCGAUGAAGGACGUGAUAAGCUGCGAAAAGCUACGGGGAUUGGCACACACGAAUUGAUCCGUAGAUAUCCGAAUGGGGCAACCCACUAUGUUGAAGACAUAGUACUCCGAUAGGAGAGUAAACCCGCUGAACUGAAACAUCUAAGUAGGCGGAGGAGAAGAAAACAAAAGUGAUUCCGUAAGUAGUGGCGAGCGAACGCGGAUUAGCCCAAACCAAUGUUGUUACGGCAAUAUUGGGGUUGUAGGACCACGACAUUUCAUGCGGAUUGAAUUAGAAUAAC